UCAACUUUCGCUCGUUGGGCUAAACUCGUAGCCCAUCUAGUGAAAGACUUUCGUUGGUUGGGCUGAGAUUUCAUCUGUAAAAUCAGCGAUUACAAUAGAAAUUCAGAGCUGCCAACUGCGAAAAAGAAAAAAAAACUGCCGUUGAUGUCGUAAUUUGACGUCCACCUUCGUUUUAAGUGGGCUGCAGCCCAACUAACGGGCGCCCAACUAAAUCGUAGCCCAUCUAAAGAUAGCCCAACGAGUGAAAUUUGACUGUAUUAUGGGUGAAAUGUACGGAGUUUAUCAGUUAAUUUCACUCAUAUUGUUGAUAAAGUGGUUUUACCAAUAUAUGGGUAAAAAUAUUUACCCAUAUUUGGGUGAAAAAAAAUUAGUGUUCGCGUUUUUGUUUUCAUAAAACUAAAUAAAAUAUGCAAAAUAAAUAACAUGUCCAGAAUGAGUUUAUUUCGUUCGUCUGGCUGAACCGGCUGAACAUUAUGACGGUACUGAGGAUGAGAAGUCACAAGAGGCUCGGACCAAGCUGUACCUCCCGGGAACCAAUUGAGUAUCUGGAGUAUCUGCAACUGCACCCGUUGCAUAAACAGCCGCGGAAACGGACACCUUCGACAACAUCGCAAAUAAAUCCUGCCGGAUCUCCCGCUCCGACAAUGAGACACCUGCCUAGAUGCAUUCCAAACCUUUUGCGGUCUACUCUAUAGCUGAUCAUAAACGAUACAUCCUGCAUCACCAUGGUCAUCAUCUGCAGAAGGAAUACGGGAAGAAGGUGGGCCAUUUUUUUGUUGUUCCAAGCCAGCGUGCAGUGGGGAUAUAGCGCGCAGUCGGAACCGCAGAUAUAACUUUGUCGGUGAUAUAAUCGCAGCCGAUGUGCUCCUCAGUGAAGUCGUGCAGUGGACAACUCACAGUGCCACCAUCUAACAGACCUUUAGCCCUCGUGCCUUCAACAUAGUGGAAUGCGAAUAUUAGCCUAUAACCUUCGAAUCAGUAUCGUUGUACCGAUACCCUCCAAUCAGUAUUCAACCCCCGGACACACCAAGUAUCGUUGAGGAACUACCGACACCCGAGAUUAAACACGUUAUCCAUGUACAAGCAGCAAACCUGAGUUUCCGGAAGCACUCCAACCACGGUGUAUUUUCCGGCUCCUGCUGUUAUAUGAGCGACCUUAUGUUGGUGCAGACUCUCAGGCGCAGACCAUCUAUUAUUGUAUUAUAUUUAUUUUGUUUUAAAUUAUUAUAUUAUAAUAAAAUGACAGAUAUUAUGA